UAAAGGUGAAAUAUUGAUUUGAGUGUUAUUAUACUGUUUGUUCUCCAUCUGUACAAAAAACAAUAAGGCAGAGUUUUCUUUCGUGUGAUUAAUGCUAUUUCAAGCUGUGGAUAAAGGAGUAUUGUUUUUGUUAUUCUUCUGUACUUUUAUAUCUUGAUGGUCAGAUUCUUGCUGUGUAAACUAGCCAUAAGGAGGAGCAUCCUUUCCACAUCAAUUGCAUGCUGGUGUCUGGAUUUUCGUUGUUAUAUAUUAGUGUAGCACUCUCUGCACUAUAUGUCGUCUCUAAUUUUAUUUUCCUCUGAAAUGUUGAAUCAAUUACAGCUGAGUCUGUCAAACGGAUGGCAGUAAAGACACAGCUAAGCACAUUGAAGAAACCCGAAGAUGUUGCAGGGAACGGGGAGUCAUGAAUGACACUUUGAAAGAAAUGUUUUCUUGCCUUUGCCGUCUAAUGUGAUUCAUGAUGUUGAGCUUGUGUGUCGGGUUCUCUCCUAAGUUAGUUGCUGCAAAUUCAUCAUAGCAGGUCAACUAGUUCAUGAGGACUUGGUGCUAGAACACAUAAUAUGAUAGAUUUUUGUUUUAGCUAUAAGAUAGUUGGUACUUUCAAUUUUGAAUCGAAAUAUGCAAUGAUCAUAUGUACUUGAUACUUGGUUCAUUUGGAUGGUAAUGUAUGAAUAUUUUGGAUGAUAUAUAAUAUUGUUAUUGGUGAUUUUAUCAUUUUGUUGUUUUAAAGUUAUUUAUUUAUUUCUUGAGAUAAAUAACAUAAAAAUCGAGAAAAAAUAUUAAAUAUGCUAGUUGUAGUUGAAAUACAUAACAGUAUAAAAAGUACAAAAAAAUCGUUAUGUAUUUCUAUCAAAGAUAACGGUAAAAACCGUUAUAAAAAGUAAAAAA